rnacentral:lncRNA from 1 species
UCAAACUUAAUAUCCCUACAGAACUAACAACUAAGUUUAAAUUAUUAAAAGAAUUUGUAUUUGAUUCUCAAUCUAUUUUAUUUCUUGAAUAAGAGAAAUUCAUCUUUAAAUUAAAAAAAAAAAAAAAAAAAAAACUAAAUCAACAUUUAUGUAGAACCUGUUCCCAAUUCAUGAAUAAGAGAAGUUCAUCUUUAAAUUUUAAAAAACAAAACAAAACAAAAUCAACAUUAAUGUGUAAAAUUAAUUCAAUUUCAUCUUAGGAAAGUUCGAUAUAACUAAU